GACAAAACUGCAAUACACUCAUCAAGUGCUUGUCAUUGCAUUAAGUUGCACCUUUUGGGGCUAGCAUUCAUAUUUUAGCCCAUUUUUCAGCGUUUCGUUAUUCAACAAUUCAGGUAACGUAACUGGGUUUAAUACACAUGACAGCUGAAAUUAACCCAGCCAUGCCUCUUCCAGACACGAUGUACUGCGCCCAGCAAAUCAACAUCCCUCCCCAGCUGCCAGACAUCCUCAAAAACUUCACUAAAGCAGCCAUCCGUACACAGCCCAAGGAUUUGCUGCUGUGGUCUGCAGCAUACUUCAGAGCACUCUCUGAAGGAGAGUGUCUGCCUGUCAAGGACAGGCUGGAGAUGAACGUUGCCACCCAGAAGACAGACACCGGUCUGACUCCAGGUCUACUUAAGAUUCUCAAUAAACAGCUGUCACCCAUGCAAACAUGCAGAAAGGAGGAAGUGGAGAAGAAAUGGAGAGGACUGUGUCUACCCAUGGAUCAGUUCGAGGCCCUGCUGUCACUGGGUGGCUUUAGCUCAGACAUUGACUGGAUGGGGUUCUUCGCCCUGGGCUGCAGUGCUCUGGGAGGGACCCUCCUGAGUUCUCUGAAAUUUGCCUGUGAGAUCCUGACAGAGGAUGAGGAGGGCGGACCUGCGAGGAUCCCCUUUAACACCUUUGUCAAGCUUUACACGUACCUGGCUCAAUUGGAUGGAGACAUGCCACAGGACCACAUUGACAACUUCCUCAACAGCCUGCAGGCACAAGUGAUGUUGGAACUCGGGAGCAACCAUGAUGUCACUGCAAAGAUGUCAGCGGUUCAGGAAUCUCAGCUCCAGGGUGGACAUUGUUGCACAACCUUUACUGCUUCUCCAAGAUUCGCUCAUAACAUCACAUCUCCAGGGACACGACGAAUGUAGCGGAGCAGUGCGAAAGAGACAGGAGAGGAGAGAGUGGACAAAGGCUCCAUUUGAGCGUUCCUCUCUGUAGCUGUUGUGUAACAGAUUUCAGGGGAGCUCCAAGAUGGGAUGAUAAAACCUCUGGACUUUAUCCAUCGGGAUGAUAUGGACCUAACUCCAGCCAGAGCAGCCUCAAGAGCUGAAUAAGAACGACGAAAGACAGAAAUGUCUGAAUUAAAGUUUUAUGUUUAACAGAACACAUUGAACCAAAUCCUGAGCCAACAGAUCUGUUGGCAAGUGCAGCGUGGAUGUGUCUGUGUGACCAAGAAAGAGAGUGAGCUGGAAACGCCUCUACCACUACACUUUAUCUGAUGUAACUUAUGUGCAAGGGUCAUGAACAUUAUGACAUCACCCAUACUUUCCUCAAGGGAAGUUUUAAAGCCUGGAUCUGCAUUUACCACAAUCUCAAAGCUGAGUUGGGGUGAACAAGCAGAAACUGCAGCGGCUGCCUCUGACAGGCACCUGUCAAUCAAGAACCCCCCGCAAAGCAUUUUUCCAUUUAAACCUCAUUAUCUCCUUAAUGGAACAGUGAUCUCAUAAUCCCCACUGUGACACACAUAAGCAGAUGUAAAAGGAAUUCACUGAGACCUGAACUCCUUGCAAAAGUAUACAUAAUUACUUUUUAUUGCAAGAGAGAAGUUGGAGGAGCUUUCCCACAGAUUUCAACACAUUCUGGGAUUUGAUGGAGCCAGUAUCCUGCAGCCAUGAGAGGAGCGGCUUUUUGAGACACCUCCGCAUCAGCUUCACCGCUCUGCCUCCCAAUUACAGCGAGGUUAUGUGUGUGUUUGUGUGUAAGAGGACAAUUAGUUCCGCUAUCGAGAAGAAUUGGACGUUUAUCUUGCUGUCACACUUCACAGUAUAGAUUGUUUGAAUUGUGUGUAAUGUUUUUGUGUAAUUAUUAUUAACACUGGUUUUGUCUGUGAAUUAUGCUUACAAUAAACUGAAUACAUGAUUUCUC